rnacentral:rRNA from 1 species
AUUGAACGCUGGCGGCAUGCCUUACACAUGCAAGUCGAACGGCAGCACGGAGCUUGCUCUGGUGGCGAGUGGCGAACGGGUGAGUAAUAUAUCGGAACGUACCCUGGAGUGGGGGAUAACGUAGCGAAAGUUACGCUAAUACCGCAUACGAUCUAAGGAUGAAAGUGGGGGAUCGCAAGACCUCAUGCUCGUGGAGCGGCCGAUAUCUGAUUAGCUAGUUGGUAGGGUAAAAGCCUACCAAGGCAUCGAUCAGUAGCUGGUCUGAGAGGACGACCAGCCACACUGGAACUGAGACACGGUCCAGACUCCUACGGGAGGCAGCAGUGGGGAAUUUUGGACAAUGGGCGCAAGCCUGAUCCAGCAAUGCCGCGUGAGUGAAGAAGGCCUUCGGGUUGUAAAGCUCUUUUGUCAGGGAAGAAACGGUGAGAGCUAAUAUCCCUUGCUAAUGACGGUACCUGAAGAAUAAGCACCGGCUAACUACGUGCCAGCAGCCGCGGUAAUACGUAGGGUGCAAGCGUUAAUCGGAAUUACUGGGCGUAAAGCGUGCGCAGGCGGUUUUGUAAGUCUGAUGUGAAAUCCCCGGGCUCAACCUGGGAAUUGCAUUGGAGACUGCAAGGCUAGAAUCUGGCAGAGGGGGGUAGAAUUCCACGUGUAGCAGUGAAAUGCGUAGAUAUGUGGAGGAACACCGAUGGCGAAGGCAGCCCCCUGGGUCAAGAUUGACGCUCAUGCACGAAAGCGUGGGGAGCAAACAGGAUUAGAUACCCUGGUAGUCCACGCCCUAAACGAUGUCUACUAGUUGUCGGGUCUUAAUUGACUUGGUAACGCAGCUAACGCGUGAAGUAGACCGCCUGGAGAGUACGGUCGCAAGAUUAAAACUCAAAGGAAUUGACGGGGACCCGCACAAGCGGUGGAUGAUGUGGAUUAAUUCGAUGCAACGCGAAAAACCUUACCUACCCUUGACAUGGCUGGAAUCCCUGAGAGAUUGGGGAGUGCUCGAAAGAGAACCAGUACACAGGUGCUGCAUGGCUGUCGUCAGCUCGUGUCGUGAGAUGUUGGGUUAAGUCCCGCAACGAGCGCAACCCUUGUCAUUAGUUGCUACGAAAGGGCACUCUAAUGAGACUGCCGGUGACAAACCGGAGGAAGGUGGGGAUGACGUCAAGUCCUCAUGGCCCUUAUGGGUAGGGCUUCACACGUCAUACAAUGGUACAUACAGAGCGCCGCCAACCCGCGAGGGGGAGCUAAUCGCAGAAAGUGUAUCGUAGUCCGGAUUGUAGUCUGCAACUCGACUGCAUGAAGUUGGAAUCGCUAGUAAUCGCGGAUCAGCAUGUCGCGGUGAAUACGUUCCCGGGUCU